rnacentral:tRNA from 1 species
GACCGCGUAGCUAAGUUGGCAGAGCAUUGGGCUAGUAUUCCAAAGGUCGUAGGUUCGAUUCCCACUGUGGCCA